CCUACGGGAGGCUGCAGUGGGGAAUAUUGCGCAAUGGGCGAAAGCCUGACGCAGCGACGCCGCGUGAGGGAUGAAGGUCUUCGGAUCGUACACCUCUGUCAGCAGGGAAGAACGGUCACUGUGCUAAUCAGCAGUGAAUUGACGGUACCUGCAAAGGAAGCACCGGCUAACUCCGUGCCAGCAGCCGAGGUAAUACGGAGGGUGCGCGCGUUAAUCGUAAUUACUGGGCGUAAAGCGCUCGUAGGCGGUAGGUCAAGUCAAGGGUGAAAUCCCCGCGCUCAACGUGGGAACUGCCUUUGAAACUGGCAAACUGGAGUGUGUGAGAGGAUAGUGGAAUUCCAGGUGUAGGAGUGAAAUCCGUAGAGAUCUGGAGGAACAUCAGUGGCGAAGGCGACUAUCUGGCACAUAACUGACGCUGAGGAGCGAAAGCGUGGGUAGCAAACAGGAUUAGAUACCCCAGUAGUC
rnacentral:rRNA from 1 species